CCUGCCGAGCAGUGUAGCCCAGCUGUUCCAGUGCUGAUGCCGUUAGCAACCUAGCUGUAAAACUUUGUAUUCGAGCCCGGGCUUCGGCUAGUCGGUAACAAGCUCGUGUGUUCUCCUGCAAAGUGGCGGUCUUUCGUGUCGUUGUCAGGAACUAAAGAACGACUACGUCGUUUUCCUUUCUUCCACCCACGCGACUACAUUGAUGCAUCGUGUUCAGAUAUCCGUGUAUCGUGACAGUUGUUCGAGAAAAUGGCGAUGUUGCAAAGCAGCUCUGAGAGCUCAACAGCUUUAUUCAACGCAAGAUUGCAGGAUAAUCAAUAGAUUAUGUGAUUAAUGAAAAAGUGAUUCUCGGUUUAAAUUAUAUUUAAAAUUGAAUUAUACAUUUCAUACUGAUAUUUAUGUGUUAUGGAAGAUCUCAUUAAAAAGAACAAGGAUGUUUUGCAUAAUUGAUACAGAAUUUGUCAUACACAAAUUUAAACAUUA